rnacentral:rRNA from 1 species
GAUGAACGCUGGCGGCGUGCCUAAUACAUGAAAGUCGAGCGAAGCGGGGACGGGUGAGUAACACGUGGCUAACCUCCUAAAAGACUGGGAUAACUUCGGGAAACCGGAGGAAAUACGGAUAAUCAGAGAAGGAACCGCGCUGAAUUAGCUAGUUGGUAGGGUAACGGCUUAACAAGGCCACGAUGCAUAGCCGACCGGAGAGGGCGAUCGGCCACACUGGAACUUAGACACGGGCCAGACUCCUACGGGAGUCAGCAGUAGGGAAUCUUCCGCAAUGGGCGAAAGCCUGACGGAGCCACGCCGCGUGAGUGAUGAAGGUCUUCGGAUCGUAAAACUCUGUUAUUAGGGAAGCGGUACCUAAUCAGAAAGCCACUGCUAACUACGUGCCAGCAGCCGCGGUAAUAC